ACCGAAACAACAUUUGGUAAUAUACCAUGACACAAGCACGACAUUGAGUUGGGGAAGCGGGGGAUUAAGAAGGCCAACAUGGUUCAACAUGGAGUUUAUCAUAAAAACAAGCGAAUUUUGUAUAGGAGGGGGGGGGGAUAGUCUCAACUUGUCAUGUCCAAGAUUGUAGCUGUGGCAACACCACGCAUAUUUUGCAUUUUCA